rnacentral:rRNA from 1 species
UACGAAGGGGCUAGCGUUGCUCGGAAUUACUGGGCGUAAAGCGCACGUAGGCGGCUUUCUAAGUCGGGGUGAAAUCCUGGAGCUCAACUCCAGAACUGCCUUCGAUACUGGAGAGCUCGAGUCCGGGAGAGGUGAGUGGAACUGCGAGUGUAGAGGUGAAAUUCGUAGAUAUUCGCAAGAACACCAGUGGCGAAGGCGGCUCACUGGCCCGGUACUGACGCUGAGGUGCGAAAGCGAU